CAAUUGAAAUGUCCAAUCACGCCACGUUUUGCUAGCGCGGGCUAUUUGAGUUCACCUGCCCGGGGCGCGUGUCGGAGGAGAACGUUAAUUCACGAUUUCUUGCUACAUUUUGGUCGAAUUUCUAAAUUAACCAUGUGGUUGGAAUCAACCCAAGGUGAUGAAUCCAGAAGAUGGGACAAAGUGCAUGACAAGGUGGCCCAGAGGAAGCCAGCUGGUUGUUCUCAACCCCUACCUUGCCCCAUUCUUCCAAGAGAUCACUGAGUUUGAAUGGAGACCUCUAGUGAGGGUUGAGAAGAGCUGACCAAUCAGAACUGAGGAGGAUUGUUACGGGGCCCAAUGAGGAACACCUGAUGCUGCGCUGACUUCUCUCUCCUGGAUGUUCUCCGGCCCAAACUGUCCUGUUGUGUGUUUCACCUCCUCUGGACCCCCCCCUUUACCCCAAACAGAGUUGCCCCUGAUCAUAGAUCGGGCUGCAUCACAGCCGGGGUACGGCAACUCCACCGCCGCGGACCGCAAGGCGCUUCAGAGGGUGAUACGUGCAGCCGAACGCACCAUCGGGUGCUCACUGCCUGCCCUCCAGGACACCUACAACACCAGGUGUCUCAGGAAGGCCAAGAAGAUCAUCAGGGACCCUCAGCCAUCCAAGCCACGGCCUGUUCUCCCCGUUUCAAUCACUCAGACGCAGGUGGCACAGGAAGAAGAUCAUCAGGGACCCUCAGCCACCUGAGCCAUGGCCUGUUCUCCCCGUUUCAAUCACUCAGACGCAGGUGGCACAGGAAGAAGAUCAUCAGGGACCCUCAGCCACCUGAGCCAUGGCCUGUUCUCCCCGUUUCAAUCACUCAGACGCAGGUGGCACAGGAAGAAGAUCAUCAGGGACCCUCAGCCACCUGAGACUGGCCAAUAGCUUCUACCCCCAAACCAUCAGGCUGCUGAAUAGCCACGCCCCCACCCACACCCCCUCAACAUACUUUUUCUCUGCCCCCACCCCAAUGACAUUCAUCACUGCUGCAGUUGUUCAUAAUGUUAUUAUUUGUAUUGUUUUAUUUCACUUUGUCUACCCCCAGUGGUCAUUUAGUCUGACUGCUACUCCCCCAAUGGUUAAUGUUCACCCCAAUGGACA